rnacentral:lncRNA from 1 species
CUUCAGGCAGGUCUCCAUCUACCUGGAGAUGGAAAGCAAAGACUCAGUGAAUCCUCCAGUCGGGUCCAAUCCUUUUCAUCAGUGGCCUCCACCCCUCUCUGAACUGUGGAGUCCAAGUGUGACUGCCAAGUGGAAUCCAGAAAAGCCAGAGAGCUUGAGUGUGUAGUCUUCCUGCAACCUGCCACACACACUUAACACCCAAAGGAAGCGAGGGGGUGUGGUGGAGGAUGUCAAGGGCAAGCGGGGAGCCCAGGUGAUCAGUCCCAUCAAUCUGUAGUCUAAAGCAGCAGGAAGGGAUCCUUGGCAGUUCUGUUUAUUUGGCAAGGUUGGGACAUGACCUGAGUUUACACCAAAUUACCUCAUAGCAAAUUAUUUUUUACCAAGCACUGUAAAUGUUGGGAUGAGUCCAUGAGGCUCUUGGGCUGAGGGUAGAAGAAUACAUCAAAGACCUGCUAAUUAACCUCCAGGUGUGGUUGGGAGCUUGUCUCUCCUCUUGCAGGAAAGAGUUAAACCCCAACUGCCGCCUCUCCACCCCUCAGGUAAGCUUCUUUUAUUUUGGGCCAAUUUAAGAUUUGCAGUCUUUUUACCUGGAGUCAAUUUGCUUCAACCUCAAGCCUCUGAUUUUAGUCUGUGUGUGUGCAUAUGCAUGUGUGUGUGUCUUCAGGAGAGUUGGCCA